CCUACGGGAGGCAGCAGUGAGGAAUAUUGGUCAAUGGGCGCGAGCCUGAACCAGCCAAGUCGCGUGAGGGAUGAAGGUCCUAUGGAUCGUAAACCUCUUUUAUAAGGGAAUAAAGUGUGGGACGUGUCCUAUUUUGUAUGUACCUUAUGAAUAAGGAUCGGCUAACUCCGUGCCAGCAGCCGCGGUAAUACGGAGGAUGCGAGCGUUAUCCGGAUUUAUUUGGUUUAAAGGGAGCGUAGGCGGCCUUUUAAGUCAGCGGUGAAAGUCUGUGGCUCAACCAUAGAAUUGCCGUUGAAACUGGGGGGCUUGAGUAUGUUUGAGGAAGGCGGAAUGCGUGGUGUAGCGGUGAAAUGCUUAGAUAUCACGAAGAACCCCGAUGGCGAAGGCAGCCUGCCGGGCCAUGACUGACGCUGAUGCGCGAAAGCGUGGGGAUCAAACAGGAUUAGAUACCCCUGUAGUC
rnacentral:rRNA from 1 species